UCAGUAACACGUAGUCAACAUGCCCAGGGGACGUGGAUAACCUCGGGAAACUGAGGAUAAACCGCGAUAGGCCAAGAUUUCUGGAAUGGAUCAUGGCUGAAACCUAUACGGCCCCGUGGAUUGGACUGCGACCGAUCAGGCUGUUGGUGAGGUAAUGGCCCACCAAACCUAUAACCGGUACGGGCUUUGAGGGAAGGAGCCCGGAGAUGGGCACUGAGACAAGGGCCCAGGCCCUAUGGGGCGCAGAAGGCGCGAAACCUCUGCAAUAAGCGAAAGCUUGACAGGGUAUACUCUGAGUGAUGCCCGUUAAGGGCACAUCUUUUGGCACCUCUAAAACACUGGUGCAGAAUAAGGGGUGGGCAA
rnacentral:rRNA from 1 species